GAUGCAACGCGAAGAACCUUACCUACUCUUGACAUCCAGAGAACUUAGCAGAGAUGCUUUGGUGCCUUCGGGAACUCUGAGACAGGUGCUGCAUGGCUGUCGUCAGCUCGUGUUGUGAAAUGUUGGGUUAAGUCCCGCAACGAGCGCAACCCUUAUCCUUUGUUGCCAGCGGUUAGGCCGGGAACUCAAAGGAGACUGCCAGUGAUAAACUGGAGGAAGGUGGGGAUGACGUCAAGUCAUCAUGGCCCUUACGAGUAGGGCUACACACGUGCUACAAUGGCAUAUACAAAGAGAAGCGACCUCGCGAGAGCAAGCGGACCUCAUAAAGUAUGUCGUAGUCCGGAUUGGAGUCUGCAACUCGACUCCAUGAAGUCGGAAUCGCUAGUAAUCGUGGAUCAGAAUGCCACGGUGAAUACGUUCCCGGGCCUUGU
rnacentral:rRNA from 1 species